rnacentral:rRNA from 1 species
AGAGUUUGAUCCUGGCUCAGAACGAACGCUGGCGGCGUGCUUAACACAUGCAAGUCGAACGCGAAAGUUUUCUUCGGAAAGCGAGUAGAGUGGCGCACGGGUGAGUAACGCGUAAAUAAUCUACCCUGAUGUCUGGGAUAACCAGCCGAAAGGCUGACUAAUACCGGGUACAUGCUUCACUGCAGGGUGAAGCAGGAAAGAUGGCCUCUUCUUGAAAGCUAUCGCAUUGGGAUGAGUUUGCGCACCAUUAGCUAGUUGGUGGGGUAACAGCCUACCAAGGCGACGAUGGUUAGCGGGUCUGAGAGGAUGAUCCGUCACACUGGCACUGGAACACGGGCCAGACUCCUACGGGGAGGCAGCAGUGAGGGAAUAUUGCGCAAUGGGGGAACCCUGACGCAGCGACGCCGCGUGAGUGAGGAAGGCCUUCGGGUCGUAAAGCUCUGUCAGAUGGGAAGAAGUGCUACGUAGUUAAUACCUGCGUAGUUUGACGGUACCAUCAGAGGAAGCACCGGCUAACUCCGUGCCAGCAGCCGCGGUAAUACGGAGGGUGCGAGCGUUGUUCGGAAUCACUGGGCGUAAAGGGCGCGCAGGCGGUUUUGUAAGUCAGAUGUGAAAGCCCACGGCUUACCGUGGAAGUGCAUUUGAAACUGCGAGACUUGAGUACCAGAGGGGAAAGUGGAAUUCCCGGUGUAGAGGUGAAAUUCGUAGAUAUCGGGAGGAAUACCGGUGGCGAAGGCGACUUUCUGGCUGGAUACUGACGCUGAGGCGCGAAAGCGUGGGGAGCAAACAGGAUUAGAUACCCUGGUAGUCCACGCCGUAAACGAUGUGAACUAGAUGUUGGAGGUGUUGAUCCCUUCGGUGUCGGAGCUAACGCAUUAAGUUCACCGCCUGGGGAGUACGGUCGCAAGAU